GCUCGGUUAAAGUUUGAGAAACUUGUACUUCCAAUUUCUCCCAUGGGAGGUGCAUUAUCGUCCUGUUUCACUUGCCAAAAAGACCCACUUGUCUCCUCAUUCUGUAAUUGGAGCAAGUGUCUCGUGCCAAUACCCUCAGUAAUGCGGCCGAACUGCAUAAGCUUCCUUUCUCCAUCCAACUGGUCAGCAAACUGUUCACAAAUAUCAUCAACUUUUGACGUGCUAAAUCCAUUAGUUUUUUCAUCCCCCAUCACAGAGUUAACCCCUGAACUUU
rnacentral:misc_RNA from 1 species